GUAGUUACAGCCAGCAAUUUGUAGUUUUCUCUCUAAGGCUAGGCCUUGACCUCUAUCACACGUGGCAAUUUCCCUCUUCCCUUCUGGACGGAGAAGCAGCCGCUCCCCUUCCCAGUCAGUGGGUUCCGUCCUUACCAAAUACCGAUAGGUAAGGUUGUAUAUAAUUUUUGAUGGGUAAGCAGCAGUGGUUGAUUUGGAUAGAGUUUCUAAGGCUGUCGUGAUUCGAUAGAUUUACUUGUUCUUUGUUCCCUUUAUUCUGUUUGUUCGUGGUGUUUUGUGGUGUUGCUAUGCAGGUUACAGAUUCGGUGUUGCAUGUUCCAAAGAGAGGCUGCGAUGGUGGAUCACAGGGUGUAGGCGAGGAGUUUAGCUUGAAACGCGCGAAUAGGAUGCCAAAGAACAUCUUCAUCGUAUUUUUCUCCUCUGUUCUUAUCAAUUUUUUGCAAACACUAGAGGUUUUGACUUUUGGCCUUGUUUGGUCUUUUGGAAGCUGAGAGAUGCAUUUUGAUGGUAAGGGAUGAUCCUCAGAGCAAGGUCAAGAGAAGCAAGGUCACUGUUUUUUCUUCAAGGAGGUUCCCUUGGUGCUGAUCUAAGUGCUAGAAGUUGUCUCGCCGACAAAAAGGAGGGCCUAGAGAUGGCGACGGUGCUGAGAGGCAUCUGCUUCUUUGUAUGCUGAUCAUGGUCCAAAUGGGCUGAAAACGGGAUACCCGUUUACCUGAGGAUUUGUGUUUUGAGCUCUGGCCUUUUUGUUGGGUGUUGGGUUUAGCUCAGAAGUUAUUCUCAUGCUUGGAUAUUAUGGGUAAAAUUUUAAACUAAAAUUUAUAUAUAAGUUUGGGCCUAAAUUUUUAUCUGUAACCUUAGGAUCCUUUGUAUGUAAUGGACCUUAGGCCUAUUAAUAAUCUAAUUAUUGUGGUUUGAUCUAUUAAUAAUCUAAUCGUUGUAUUUUUAGAAUUAA
rnacentral:misc_RNA from 1 species